UCAUUCCUGGAGUCUGAACUGGUCUGAUGGUGGUUACUCUGUCUGUCACAAUAACAGAAAAACAGUCCUCACUUCCUGUUCUGUCUCUAACAGAGUAGCAUCCCUCUCCUCUCUCCUCU